AAACUUUCCCCUUUUCAUUUUGUUUCCAGCGGCGGCGCUCCUGCUCCCGGCUCCCGGCAGUGCGGCGCUCCUGCUCCCGGCGAUGCGACGCUCAUGCUGGCUGGUGGGUCUCGGCCUCGGGGCUCGGGCUCGGGCUCGCGCCUCACGGGACGCGGCAACGCGCGCGACCGCGGCAAGCCGCGAGCGUCCACACCGAGUCGGCGAGCUACCGGCGAUGCGACGCUCUAGAUCCCGGCGGUAGGCUGUGCUGCUGCUGGCGAGUCGCGGGUUCGCAGUCGCAGCCUCGCAGAACACGGCAUCGUACGUGACCGUGGCAAGCGGAGGGCAGCCGCGGCAAGCCAUGGCCCAUGAGCUUCCACGGCGAGCGCGCAGGCAUCCAGUGCACGGCGAGCCGGUGAGCAACUGGCGUUUGCGGAGCUUGAAUCCAGCAUGCGGCGGGCGUGCAGAUCCAGGCCUGCAAGCGUUCAUUGCCUCCAUGGGCCCUCCUGCUGUUCUUCAAGGAGAAGCAUAGCGGCAGCUUGAUGCCUAAAAAGGUGUAGAGGAAAAUCUGGAGUUUAGUCCGUGAAUGUGUCCUGAAUUCCUGAUCAUUAAGAAAACCAUGUUUCCUAGAGAGAAGCCUACCCUUCAAACCGAAAACAACUCCUAAUGCAGGCAGCUCAAGCAUACCAGGUUGCUCUCAAGGUAGUAACUGAAGAAGACAGUAAACAAUUGAUGUAAAGGCAUAUUCUAAUAGAUGUGUAUCUAGGUGUGCAUUUUAUUUGUCCUCACUUAGUUGUGCGUUAUAACAAACAUGUAGCUGCAUAGUGCCAAAAGCUACUUCAUUCAGUUGUUUUGUUUUGUAGCUAUCCCUGCUAAAUGGCAUUAGACUAUCCGGAAUUCGUCGCGAAGCUUCAGACCCAGGUGCUCUUCCUAUCCAUGUAGUGGGUCCUUGGCUACUAAAGUUUCACAUUUUAGAAGGUGUAGAACACUUUGGUAUUGUACAGUUUAGUGAUUUCACUUAGCACUAGAGGAUGGUUGUGUAUUUUAAGCUUUCACCUAAUUUUUGGUGGCUUCCAUGGAUAUCAAGUGCUAGUUACAUAUGUGGAGACAAGCAUAGUUUGAUUUUUAAGUGACAUGAUUGCAUAUGUACUUGAGUUUGACAAUUGAUUGAGUAUGUCUGAUGUCAUCGUUUGUGUAUUAAUCAUUUUAAUAUUGUAUUGGUGGAAUGUUUUAGAUAUAUAAGGUUUUAAUUUUCUUUA